GUUGUUUGCAACGCCGAAAGCUUUUGCAACGGUUAUUGUAACGACUUUCUUUAUUGUAACGGUUGUUUACAACGGUUAAUUAUAACCGUUGCAUUAGACAUCCUAAUGCAACCUUCCUACUUACUAUGGCAACGGUUUCACUACAACCGUUGUAUUUGAUUAAAUUUUCUAAUUCCUAACGCGUUUUGACGGAGUAGCUGCCAUUUUCCUCAUAGUGCAAAAAUUCCCUCCUUAAUUUCGCGAAAAUUCUAAAACCCUCAUCCCUCUUCUUCCCCAGACCAAAAUACCCAAAUAUUUUAAACCUAAAAAAACCCCUUCGAUCUCAGUCUUCUUGAAUUUUCUGCUUACCCAAAUCAUCUUCUUCUUCGUUCUUCCCAAUUGCUCAAAAUUUUCUGACAAAAAGAAAAAAUCACCUAACUAAAAAAGAAAAAGAGAAGAAGAAGCUCAUGAUAUUGUCAAUCGUCGCCUCUCUAUUCACGUUCGUUGCUGGAACUUCGAUGUUAACGCGUCCAGUAUUCCUCUCACAAGUACUUCUCUUUCUUAGGGAAACUGAUGAUCUACAAAGAGCUUCCUCACCCACUAAUGUCGUGGAGAAUGUGGAAACUAUUCAGGACAUAGCUUAAGAAGAGUUGGGUGAUCAGAACAUAAUAUACAGUAAGAAGUAUAUCUCCUUUGAUAUAAUAUUUUAUAUUGGGGUACUGGAAAACUUGGCAAUGCAAAUAUACAGUAAGAAGUAUAUUUGCUUUGAUUUAAUAUAUUUUUUUGGUUGUCACCCUGUAAGUUGUCUCUUAUUCUAAGACUAGUGUUUAAUUUUGAUGAAGUUCUUGGAUAUCUGUGGGAUACUAUAUACGAAGUGUAACUUGCAGUAAGGUGUUUUUUUUUUCAUUAUUGAAUGUAGAAAUUGAAAGAGCUCGGUUUAUAGAGUUUGAAGUUGGUUUAAUGUGGUGGAAAAUUAAGAUGUUAAUGUUGUAAGGUUUGUUAGGUAAUAGGUAGAGUCUUUGCUAGUAUAAUGUUUUGUUAUUAGCAGUGGAAAGGAGUGACGAUAUGGGUUUUAGUUUAUUCAAAUGCAGCUAUGGUGAUACUUAAAAUGGAUUCUGUUCACUAGAUUAUAAAGGAUAAUAAUCUACAGUUCUUGAUUUACAUAUGCAGAUGAGUAUCAUGAAUGUGACUAUGUGACUGAGGUUUCCUCUACACAAGCAGAUGAUAUUUGAAAAAAAUAUAUAUUUCUUUCCUAGGUUGUAUAAUCAAAUCUCAGAUCAUUUGAAUAUUAUCAUUUGUAUAAUCUGAAUUUGUUACCAUAACAUGAACACGUCAAGAAACUUGAAUGACUAGUUUCUCUUAAUGACUUUAUCUUUGUUUAUAUCAUUAGAAACUUGAAUGAACUAAAUUAUUCGGCUCUCCUUCCAGUUCUUCGAAGAAACCCCAAAUUUUUUUUCGCUAAAAAAGUUCAAUCGUUGCCCCCUCUCUCCCUGAUUCUCUCCCAAAUUCCUGCAUAGAUUAUCCAAUAAACCCUAAUUUAAUCGACAUUUGAUCGAAUUUUCUCAAUUUGUUUAUGCUCGGUUUGUAACCUCGGGGAUUUGUUCGAAAAAAGCCCGAUUUCUGCUGAGAUUUAUUCGAGAAAAGACCGAUUUCUGCUUACUGGUAUCAUCUUCUUUCUUAGAUAAUUUUCUUCCGUGAGUGGUAGGUAGAAAAUUGUAGUUCGCUGAUUUUUCCUUCCCUGCUAUUUUCUCAAUUUGCUUGAUGAUUUGAUCUCAUUGUUAUAGUGAAGGUGGUAGAGGGAGCUAGACUUUGUGGAGCUACUGAAAUCAUUGGUUUGGAUAUUAACCCUGCUAAAUUUGAAACUGUUCAUCAAUAAAUCCCUCUCUGCUCUUGGUGAUGUCAUCUCUGCUCUUGCAACUAAAACACCCCAUGUUCCAUACAGAAACUCAAAGCUUACGCACAUGCUGCAGAGCUCUUUAGAUUAGUCCUAGCGCUGCAGACUUAGGGGAGACUUUAUGCUCCCUGAAAUUUGCUAGUCUAGUCAAGGGAAUCGAAUAUGGUCCAGCUUGCAAGCAGACAGAUAUUUCUGAGCUCCUCAAGUAUAAGCAUCUGGCUGAGAAACCAAAGCAUGAUGAAAAAGAAAGAAGCAAAGAAACUGCAGAACAAUGUAUAAUCUUUGCAGCUAAGGCUUUCUGCCAGAGAGCAUAUCUGCAGAAAUCUCCAGGAGAUGAUUAUAAAGGAGAUGACAGAUGGGUGUGCUGAUCGACUACUACUUCGAGUGUGUGGGCAUGUCAUCUUUGGUGGAAGAAGCUUCUGCUUACUGCUGGAAGGUAUUUUUCUCGAGGAAGCAUAUAUAACUUUUUGGUGGUGCAUGGAUCUCGCACGUGUAACUAUUGGCUCUUUUGGGUGGGUUUUUUUCCCGUAAACUUUACAACUUGAAUUGUAAUACGUUAUCAUCUUUAAGGCCUACUUAUGUAUGUAAAAGGAAAGUACAUCAUUUUGUAUAUUUUCAAAUGACAUAACACUUAUUUAUGGUUUCAA